CCUACGGGUGGCAGCAGUAGGGGAUCUUGCACAAUGGGGGGAACCCUGAUGCAGCGACGCCGCGUGGGUGAAGAAGCGCCUCGGCGCGUAAAGCCCUGUCGGCAGGGAAGAAAGUGACGGUACCUGAAGAAGAAGCCCCGGCUAACUACGUGACAGCAGCCGCGGUACUACGUAGGGGGCAAGCGGUGUCCGGAUUUACUGGGUGGAAAGGGGGCGCAGACGGCGAUGCAAGCCAGGAGUGAAAGGGCGGGGCCCAACCCCGGGACUGCUCUUGGAACUGCGUGGCUGGAGUGCAGGAGGGGCAAGUGGAAUUCCGGGUGUAGCGGUGAAAUGCGUAGAUAUCAGGAGGAACACCGGUGGCGAAGGCGGCUUGCUGGACUGUAACUGACGUUGAGGCCCGAAAGCGUGGGGAGCAAACAGGAUUAGAUACCCGUGUAGUC
rnacentral:rRNA from 1 species